rnacentral:misc_RNA from 1 species
UGGCUCUCGCAUCGAUGAAGAACGCAGCGAAAUGCGAUAAGUAAUGUGAAUUGCAGAAUUCAGUGAAUCAUCGAAUCUUUGAACGCAACUUGCGCCCUCUGGUAUUCCGGAGGGCAUGCCUGUUUGAGUGUCAUGUAGCCUCAAUCCCCCGGGUUUCCGGGAAGAUUGGAUUUGGGUGUUGCCUUUGAUGGCUCGCCUUAAAUGAAUUAGUGGACGACUGAUUAGUUGAGAGUAAUAAGUUUCUCUUGACGAUCUCGGCUCAACCGCUCAUAACCUACAUCUAUGACUCUGACCUCAAAUCAGGUAGGACUACCCGCUGA